CCUGAUGUUGAUAUAGUGCUUGCUAUGUGAAUUGUUGUAUGUCUUAUUGAAUGGUAGGGGUCAGUGAACAUGGUGUUGCAAAAUGCAAGUGCACUGGAGAUCUGCCGAGUGCCCUAUAGGUGGCAGUGUAGUUGGAUACUGAUUGGUAUGUGAAAUGUUGUUUGUCUGUUGACCUAUAGGUGUAAGUGUUUUGGUGUUUGUAAAACCCCAUGAAAAUUGUCAAUGUACUUGAC